rnacentral:tRNA from 1 species
GGAUCGGUAGCUUAGUUGGUAAAGCGCUCGUCUAGCAUACAAGAGUCCUGGGUUCGAAUCCCAGUCGAACAC